rnacentral:lncRNA from 1 species
CCAGGUCUGGGCAUGGGGGACAAAGGCUGGCUCUGCCUCUUGCCUUAGACAUUGAGGCUUUUUUGAUCUAGUCUCUCCCUUUUCUCAAUGAAAAUUCAAAUACCCCAAUUUUGGAGUCCCCAUCCCAUUCUCUAGCCUCACCUAUCCGGCCGGUUUGGUACCUAAAUGAAGGAACCAGCUAAGGGUCAGAUUGUUACUUUUCUCCCAACCCUUAAAGUAGCUAAUAAUUGGGAUAAUUCAGGCCCAAAUAUUUGGAUUUUUUGUUUUUUUUUUUUUGAGAUGGAGUCUCACUCUGUUGUCCAGGCUGGAGGGCAGAGGCAUGAUCUCAGCUCACUGCCACUUCUGCCUCCCGGGUUCAAGCAAUUCUUCUGCCUCAGCCUCCUGAGUAGCUGGGACUACAGGCACGUGCCACCACACCUGGCUAAUUUUUUGUAUUUUUAGUACAGGUGGGUUUCACCGUGUUAGCCAGGAUGGUCUCUAUCUCCUGACCUCAUGAUCCACCUGCCUCGGCCUUCCAAAGUGUUGGGAUUACAGGCGUGAGCCACUGCGCCCGGCUGGAGAUUUCUUAAAUUCAAAAUUCAAAAUUAUUAUUUUUUGAGACAAGGCCUCAUUUUGUCACCCAGGAAUGCAUUGGUGCAAUGACAGCUCACUGCAACCUUGACCUCCUCAGGUUCAGGUGUUCCCCCCACCUCAGGCUCCCAAGUAACUGGCACUAAGGCAUCAUGCCAAGCUAAUUUUUCUAUUUUUUUUUUUUUGUAUAGAUGGGGUUUCAUCAUGUUGCCCAGGCUUGGUUCACUUUUAAUAGUAAAGGACACCUCAAAUGUUUAGAUAUUUGCUUUCACUUUGGGCAAUUAUGAAUAUAGCUAUUAAAAACCUUGCUGUGUCUUGUUUAAAAAUUAUGUUUCCAAAAUAUAACUAAGGAAAUACUUAGGAUUAUAAUUACUUGCUUGUAUGGUAAGACCAGGUUUUUCUUUGUAAGAAUUUUGGGGCUGGGCACGGUGGCUCACGCCUGUAAUCCCAGCACUUUGGGAAGCUGAGGCGGGUGAUCACGAGGUCAGGAGAUCAAGACCAUCCUGGCCAACAUGGCGAGACCCCGCCUCCACUAAAAAUACAAAAAUCAGCUGGGCGUGGUGGCCUGUGCCUGUAAUCCCAGCUACUUGAGAGGCUGAGGCAGGAGAAUCGCUUGAACCAGGGAGUCAGAUGUUGCAGUGAGCCGAGUUCGCGCCACUGCACUCCAGCUUGGUGACAGAGCAAAACUGCGUCGCAAAAAACAACAACAAAAAAGAAUUUUGGUAGAAUUUUUUUUUUUUUUUUUUAACCAGUGAAAUCAUAUGAAUGUAGUGUUUUUGGUUUUUCCUUCUUUUGAAAGAUUAUUAAUCAUUGCUUCAAUUUCUAAAAUAAAUAUAGGCCUAUUCAGAUGAUCUAUUUUUCCCCAGAAGACUUUUGGUCUUCUAAAAUCGAUAAAAAGGAAUGAGCUCAUUUCAUCUAUGUAUCAAAUUGUGGGCAUAGAUGUGUUCAGAAUAUUCCUUUAUUAUUUUUUGAUUUAACUGCUCUUCAAUUGAUGCUAUUAGUACAUUGUAACAUCUUUCUUUCCUUUGUGGUUAGCCAAGGUAGAGGUUUAUCAAUGGUACUGAUCUCAAAGAACUGGCUUUUUGUUUUAUUGAUUUUCUCGGAUGAUUUUCUGUUUUCUAUUCCAUUGAUUUCUGCAAGAAUUGUUUUUUAAGCUUAGAGUAUGAAUUUAGAUUUUUCUCAUUAUUGACACCGCGUCAUGAAUGUAGUUCACUGAAUUCAAUCUCACUGAAAUGUACACUAAAUAAUUAAAAUAAUAUGUAUGCUUCACCAUAAUUUAAAAAGUAAAACACGAUAGGUGAUAAAUGUAGUAGCAGGAUAUGUAAAUCCACAGAAUUAAAUGGUCUUGUAACAUUUUGAAAAAUGAGGGGAUUGGCCUGGACCUUCAAAUGGGCAGGAGGUGUGAGGAGAUGCUCUCACAGAACCAUACAGUGCCUUUCUGUAUUAAUCAGUUCUUAACGCUAAUAUUUCACAUUUCUCCUCCUCUCCUUUGCUUUCCUUCCACACCAAAGAGAAUGGUCCAGCAGCAGCUCAGUCCAUGCUUGUCAACCACCCACCUCCAUAGACUUCAGCGCUGGUCCCCACAUCCCCCAAGGCUCCUAGUGGGAUUCCUGAGAAGCACCAAUGCACUGACUAUUACUCUAUGUUCUCCUAGCUUCUGUUCUGGACCUGGAAGAUAUUGCGCUUGAUAUUGCGGAGGAGGUGUUAUCUGAAAUGGUGAGAUGCAUUCCUUCAUCUGGAAGAGAAUUUUUUUUUUUUCUGGGGCUUCUUCCCUUAUUAAUGAAAUGAAGACAUAAAAGUCUGACCAUAUACAUAACAGAUGACUAAGACAAUUUUCUUGGUGGGGGGAAUAUCAAGUGAAUAUCAUUUUUGAUUGCCAUUGUCAAUCAAGCUUCAGUUGAUCAAGCUUCAGUUGGUCAUGGACUCUAGUGACCAGCCAUGAGUUUAUGAACAACUGAGGCCUAAUUGAUGAUGACAGUAAAAAAUGACAGCAUUACCUACAAACUGUCUGGUAGUGAGCAUAUUUUUUAGUAGCAACUUUUUCUUCUUGAAAAAUAAUUUUGUAUUUGCCAGCCAACAUGGACUUGCAAAUAUUCCAUGAAAACCCAUUGCCCAAAAUUCCUACCGUAUGUAUUUAUUAUUUUUAAAAAAAGCUUUAUUGAGAAAUAGUUGACAUGCAAAACAAUUCACCCAUUUAAAGUGGGUGAUUCAGUGUUUUUACUGUAUUUACAGGGUUGUGCAACCAUUGUACAAUCUCAUUUUAGAACGUUUUCAUUCCUCCACGAAGAAACCCUGUAUCCAUUAGUGGUUACUCCUCUCUUUUUCCAACCCCCACACCUCUGGCGAUAGGAAGCCACUCAUCUACUUUCUAUUGCUGUAGAUUUGCCUACUCCGGCCGUUUCUUUUUUAACUUGUUUUUUUUUUUUUUUUUUUUAAGUUCUGAGAUACAUGUGCAGGAUGUACAGGUUUGUUACAUAGGUAAAAGUGUGCCAUGGUGGUUUGCUGCACCUGUCAAACCAUCACCUAGGUAUUAAGCCCUGCAUGCAUUUGCUGUUUAUCCAGAUGCUCUCCCUUCCCCUGCCCCGACAGGCCCGAGUGUGUCUUGUUCUCUUCUCUAACACCGUAUAUAUCCUAAGACCACUCCCUUGCUGAUACAAAUCUAAGUGAUGGGUUGUGGGGGGCUCUAUUCCCUGCUUUUGUCUGGAGAGCCUGCCUGGCCUCAGGUUCCUGAUAGGAGUGAGGACCUGGAGUGCACUGUGAGAAACAGAUGGCUCAGUGAAGAACUGUCAUCAUCCACUGGAGUCCCUGGAAACAGCCGUAUCAUUUAGAUGGUGUGGGUUUGUGUGCAUGAGGGUUGGGAGUUAGCUAGGGAUGAAUUAAUGUGUAGUGAUUGUGAAUGUGUUUGUAAAUGUGUGUUUUUCCCCUAAAAUGUGGACCCGCAUGCCCAGCACAGUGCAAGUGUCAGUUUUCUUGAAUUCCUGGCCUAUGGUGGUUCUCUCACCUCAGCCUCCCGAGUCAUGUCAUUCUUCUAAUAAAAAGGAAGAAAAACUUCAACACCACCAUACACUUUACAUAAAUGACCUCUUUACUCCCUCACCACAGCUGUACCUGAAGGUCAGUUUAAUAUCCCUACUCCUUAUAUGGAGAGAGUGCAGAAAGGAAUGAACCCAGAUUUUGACCUCCUGAAUGGAAAAGGCAAAAGUGAACCCAGAAAUGGGUCCCGAUGUUGAUGGUCUGUAUUACUUAACUGUGUCAGCACUCAGGCUUGGUGAUAUGACCCUACACCAGGGAGUUCCAGCACCUAUGUGUGCCCCUGGUAGUGGUAGUGGAUGGCCUAUAAGCGUGCCAAACAUUGCCCAUCAUCAAAUGGGGCCCCAUUGGUCACAUAACCCUGGGUAGCAAAAGGUACACGGAACAAUAGACGUUGGCAUGGACAUUACUGUGAAAUAUACAUAGAAAGCCCACAGGCUUCUGGUCAGCUCACAGAUUCUGAGAAGUGUAAGGGAUCACAUGGAAUAGUGCAGGUCAACAUCUGUCAGUGCUGCGAUCAUUCCUUAGCACUUGGUCAAAGCAGGGAAGGAUCAGGAAGAUAUUGCAUUGUAUUUAGUAACAUGAGUACCUCAAGCCUUAGAAAUGCUCCAAUCCAUGGCCGGGCACGGUGGGAGGCUGAGACAGCCGAUCACCUGAGUCAGGAGUUUGAGACCAGCCUGGCCAACAUGGUGAAAGCCUGUAUUUUUAUACAAAAAGUAGUCAGGCAUGGUGGCACACACCUGUAAUCCCAGCUACUUGGGAGGCUGAGGCUGGAGAAUCACUUGAACCUGGGAGGUGGAGGUUGCAGUGAGCCAAGAUCGAACCCCUGCACUGCAGUCUGAGUGGCAGAGUGAAACUCUGUCUCAAAAAAAAAAAAAAAAAAAAAAGCUCCAAUCCAUAGCAGACGGACAAGGGCCAGUGCCACAUCAGAACUCAGAGGACAUUGUUGUUAGCCUGGUGCCCAUCAAUCUCACUGGAGACCUCCUGCAUCGCUACGUUAGUGAGGCUUAGCGCUCACCAUGUACUGAUCCCCAUGAUGGACUGUCCCACUGUCGGGGGCUGGUGUGAGCAUGAGCAGCCACUGACUCAAUGGACGCACACAGUGUAAAGAAACGGAAGACAUGGGCUGGGCGCGGUGGCUCAAGCCUCUAAUCCCAGCACUUUGGGAGGCCGAGGUGGGUGGAUUGCCUGAGGUUAGGAGUUCAAGACCAGCCUGGCCGAGCUGGUGAAACCCCGUCUCAACUGCAAAUACAAAAAUUAGCUGGGUGUGGUGGUGGGCACCUGUAAUGCCAGGUACUCAGGAGGCUGAGGCAGGAGAAUCACUUGAACCCAGGAGGCAGAGGUAGCAGUGAGCCGAGAUUGAGCCAUUGCACUCCAGCCUGGGUGACUGGACGAGACUUCGUCUUAAAAAAAAAAAAAGAAAAAAGGAAGGGAAGAGCAGAGGAGAAAUAUCACAGUUAGUACUCAUAUCUCUUAGACCCCUUCUGAGUAGGAGUGAACAGGACCUGGCCUUCCUGUCUGCCGAAAGCAUGGCAUGGACAUCAUCCUAAAUGCCUCAAGAAUGGAGUUUCAUUGCUUUCUCUUGUCUUCUCCAUCUGUAUGUGAUGAUGGCAGUGACACCAGCAGAAAUUGGUUGGGGGGCAGAACAGGAAUCAGGUCCCCACUUCUCUGACACGGAGCAGACAGGACACAAAUCAGCAGGGAUGGACUUCAGGGUCAGGACACAGGUCCCAGGCCUGAUCUUCCUGGGGCUGGGACAGAUGAGUUUUUCUUUUUCACCUCUUCUGGAAGUCACUUGAGGAAUGGUCCUUGAGGAGACACUGUUGACCAAGGGUUGUCUGGCCCAGAAAUGUGUUUUUGUUGUUUUGUUUGUUUGUUUGUUUUGAGACAGAGUCUCACUCUGUUGCCCAGGCUGGAGUGCAGUGGCAGGAUCUGAACUCUCUGCAACCUCCACCUCCCAGGUUCAAGUGAUUCUCCUGCCUCAGCCUGCUGAGUAGCUGGAAUUACAGACGUGCACCACCAUGCCCAGCUAAUUUUUGUAUUUAUAGUAGAGAUGGGGUUUCUCCAUGUUGGCCAGGCUGGUCUUGAACUCCUUCAGAUGAUCCACCUGCCUCAGCCUCCCAAAGUGCUGGGAUUACAGGCGUGAGCCACUGUGCCUGGCUGACGUGUUUCAACUGGACAGCGCCCCCUAGCACUGGGCCUGUAGCUGCAGCACUCCCGAGUAGCAGGGGAGGUGAGGAGGGACACGAGUGCCAGUGCACCAUGAGCUCAGCAGAGGGAUGGGGACUGAUUCCAGAGUCCAGCUCAUCCUUGCAACUCUUCUUAGAAUCCAGAGUACAUCAGUUUCCACUUAUUUUAUAGAAGGUUUGGAAUCUUCAGUGUCAAAGUCUGUGUUGUGUCUUCCCACAGGGUGGAUAGAGGAACCCUGGCUAUGGGUGUUUUCUGCCAGGGCAGUGACUGUGUCUUCCUCAUUAGUCCUUAUCCCAGAGCUCAGUCCUGGGGCGAACAUGUUAGGCCCCAUGGGCAUUGUAAUGAACACAUCCCUGGGAUGAGUUCUAGGUCGCCUCUGGGGUGGGAUCUAGCUUAGUUGUGGAAAUGUUCCCUUCUCAGCCUGUCCAGCCUGUUGAGCCCUACACCAAUCCUGGAGGCUGCCCCAGCUUCUGAGUCAGGGUCCCUGGAGAUGAACUUGAGCUCCUGAGGACAGUGAGGUACCCCUGCCCCUCGGUUCCUGCUGCGCUGAUCCUGUCUAGACAGGCUGUGCAGGGCCACGCUCUUCCCCUGUGUGCACGUGCGCCCCCUGCUGGAAUCCCUCUGGACCUGGAUGUUGUCCUCAUUGUUGUCAUAUCCCCAGCCCCACACAGUGACUGGCACUUGUGCAGAUGCCCAGGAAGUAACCAUAAACGUAUGGUAGGAGCAGAGCUGCAAACUAUUUCGCAAGAAAACACCAGGGGAGGGGAGUCAUGUCUUCCUCAUGUCUGGAUCUCCUGUGCCGUCUAGUGUGGUUCUCAGUCAUAUAUGUGCCGCCUCGUAUUUUUUUUUUGAGGUGGAAUCUCGCUCUGUCGCCCAGACUGGAGUGCAGUGGCGUGAUCUCGGCUCACUGCAAGCUCCACCUCCCGGGUUCACGCCAUUCUCCAGCCUCAGCCUCCCGAGUAGCUGGGACUACAGGCGCCUGCCACCACGCCCGGCUAAUUUUUUUUUAUUUUUAGUAGAGACGGGGUUUCAUGGUGUUAGCCAGGAUGGUCUCGAUCUCCUGACCUCAUGAUCCGCCCACCUCGACUUCCCAAAGUGCUGGGAUUACAGGCAUGAGCCAACGUGCCCGGCCCUCAUUUAAAUACAUUGAAAUAUUUACAAUUAAAAGUUCAGGGCCGGGCAUGGUGGCUCACGCCUAUAAUUUCAGCACUUUGGGAGGCCGGGGCGGGUGGAUCAUCUGAGGUCAGGAGAUCGAGACCAGUCUGGCCAACGUGGUGAAACCCCGUCUCUACAAAAAUUAGCUGGGUGUGGUGGUGCACACCUGUAAUCCCAGCUACUCGGGAGACUGAGGCAGGAGAAUCACCUGAACCCGGGAGGCGGAGGUUGCAGUGAGCUGAGAUCAUGUCAUUGUACUCCAGCCUGGGCAGCAAGAAUGAAACUCUGUCUCGAAAAAAAAAAAAAAAAUUUCAGAACCUCAUCACAAUAGCCACCGUGCAGUGGCCCAGCAGCCUUAUGUUAAUGAAGCGGAGAGAUUUCCAUCCCCGCAGAAUGCUCUUUCACAUCUGCUGUGAGCCUGGCUGAGGGACCGAUUGUUGAACUCCUCUAACUCAAAGUGUGCACAUGAAAGUGGGAAUCUCAGGGCUGUGAGAUUGGAGGUGAGACCUGUAAUGGGCCAGUGGAAGGAAAAAGUUGAAAGGUGGUUCCUUCAGUUUCUCUUUCUCAAUCGAAGGCUGGCAAGUGUGAGCAAUGCCUUUUUACAGACCUCUGACUCCACAGAGACCACGGAGAGUCUGACAACACCGAGGAAAGGGCAGAGUGAUGUGUAACCCAGUGUGGCCUCACCUGCAGUAGGAGGCUGGGCGAGUUGCUCUCUGGAAUAACUUCUUGCAGAGUUUUUGUCUCUUAAUGAUUGGCCAAUGGACACCAUCCAUGAGGGCAGCUGCAAUGAGGCAGAUCUGCAGGUAGAGAAUGAUACUCUAGGAGGAUCUCUGGGAGCAGUUGGGUGACACCUGUUGGUUUGGAACCUAGGAAAAGGGCAAUGAAGUCAGAACCGAAGGAAAUAUGCGUAGAAGUCUGACUUGUUCCUUUUGUAUUUUAGUAAGAUAGAGAUGAGACAAUACAUGUCCAUGGACUUUAUGUGCUGUGUUUGUAACCAUUUUUUUUCUUGCUCUGGUGUUUAAUGGUUACCUUUCCACAAGACCAGUUUUUCCUAUGUCACAGCAAACAUCAAAGCCCUGAUUUUUGAUUGGUUAGUAUCUUCUGGGACUUGGGAAUGCAAGAGUCUUAUUAGGUCUGGGCACUGGCUAAGAUGCAAGGUAUCUGGUGAGACUCCCUCAUGCUCACUACUUGAACACAGUUGUUUCUCUGAGAUGUCUCAAUAUCUUCAGUCCCACGCUCCAUGUGCCGCAUCCAGCAAGCUCCCUGAGGGACUCCCAGUCUCCAACCACCAGCGCACUGACAUUAACUGCGUGUCCUUUUAGGUCCCCCUGAGGACCGCCUGAGUUUAAAACUUCUACCACCAAGUGAGGAAGACAAUGAUGACACCAAGAUUUUACCAUCACCUAUCCAGGCUUCUCUUGAGGACAACCUGACUUUAGUAUGCCUACCACCAAGUGAAGAUGAUUGUGAUGAUGACAAUGAUGAUGAUGAUGCCCAGGUAAGACCACCUUUCUUUGUCUUCUAAGGAAAUGUUGGUUUUCUGAUGUGAGAAACAAACUCACCAGUCCAAACCUAAAGAAUGGACUCAGGGAGCUGAAAAACAGUAACAGUGAGAUUUUCUUUCCUUUUCUUUUUAAUUAUACUUUAAGUUGUAGGGUACAUGUGCACAAUGUGCAGAUUAGUUACAUAUGUAUAUAUGUGCCAUGUUGGUGUGCUGCACCCAUUAACUCGUCAUUUAACAUUAGGUAUAUCUCCUAAUGCUAUCCCUCCCCACUCUCCCCACCCCACAACAGGCCCCAGUGUGUGAUGUUCCCCUUCCUGUGUCCAUGUGUUCUCAUUGUUCAAUUCCCACCUAAUGAGAACAUGCAGUGUUUGGUUUUUUGUCCUUGCAAUAGUUUGCUUGCUUUCCAGCUUCAUCCAUGUCCCUACAAAGGACAUGAACUCAUCAUUUUUUAUGGCUGCAUAGUAUUCCAUGAUGUGUAUGUGCCACAUUUUCUUAAUCCAGUCUGUCGUUGUUGGACAUUUGGGUUGGUUCCAAGUCUUUGCUAUUGUGAAUAGUGCCGCUAUAAACAUACGUGUGCAUGUGUCUUUACAGCAGCAUGAUUUAGAAUCCUUUGGGUAUAUACCCAGUAAUGGGAUGGCUGGGUCAAAUGGUAUUUCUAGUUCUAGAUCCCUGAGGAAUCGCCACACUGACUUCCACAAUGGUUGAACUAGUUUACAGUCCACCAACAUUGUAAACGUGUUCCUAUUUCUCCACAUCCUCUCCAGCACCUGUUGUUGCCUGACUUUUUAAUGAUUGCCAUUCUAACUGGUGUGAGAUGGUAUCUCAUUGUGGUUUUGAUUUGCAUUUCUCUGAUGGCCAGUGAUGGUGAGCAUUUUUUCAUGUCUUUUGGCUGCAUAAAUGUCUUCUUUGGAGAAGUGUCUGUUCAUAUCCUUCGCCCACUUCUUGAUGGGGUUGUUUGUUUUUUUCUUGUAAAUUUGUUUGAGUUCAUUGUAGAUUCUGGAUAUUAGCCCCUUGUCAGAUGAGUAGAUUGCAAAAAUUUUCUCCCAUUCUGUAGGUUGUCUGUUCACUCUGAUGGUAGUUUCUUUUGCUGUGCAGAAGCUCUUUAGUUUAAUUAGAUCCCAUUUGUCUAUUUUGGCUUUUGUUGCCAUUGCUUUUGGUGUUUUAGACAUGAAGUCCUUGCCCAUGCCUAUGUCCUAAAUGGUAUUGCCUUGGUUUUCUCCUAGGGUUUUUGUGGUUUCAGGUCUAACAUGUAAGUCUUUAAUCCAUCUUGAAUUAAUAUUUGUAUAAGGUAUAAGGAAGGGAUCCAGUUUCAGCUUUCUACAUGUGGCUAGCCAGUUUUCCCAGCCCCACUGGUUAAAUAGGGAAUCGUUUCCCCAUUUCUUGUUUUUGUCAGGUUUGUCAAAGAUCAGAUGGUUGUAGAUAUGCGGCAUUAUUUCUGAGGGCUCUGUUCUGUUCCAUUGGUCUAUAUCUCUGUUUUGGUACCAGUACCAUGCUGUUUUGGUUACUGUGGCCUUGUAGUAUAGUUUGAAGUCAGGUAGCGUGAUGCCUCCAGCUUUGUUCUUUUGGCUUAGGAUUCACUUGGCAAUGCGGGCUUUUUGGUUCCAUAUGAACUUUAAAGUAGUUUUUUCCAAUUCUGUGAAGAAAGUCAUUGGUAGCUUGAUGGGGAUGGCAUUGAAUCUAUAAAUAACCUUGGGCAGUAUGGCCAUUUUCAUGAUAUUGAUUCUUCCUACCCAUGAGCAUGUAAUGUUUUUCCAUUUGUUUGUAUCCUCUUUUAUUUCAUUGAGCAGUGGUUUGUAGGUCUAUCAAUUGUGUUGAUCUUUUCAAAAAACCAGCUCCUGGAUUCACUGAUUUUUUGAAGGGUUUUUUGUGUCUCUAUUUCCUUCAGUUCUGCUCUUAGUUAUUUCUUGCCUUCUGCUAGCUUUUGAAUGUGUUUGCUCUUGCUUCUCUAGUUCUUUUAAUUGUGAUGUUAGGGUGUCAAUUUUAGAUCUUUCCUGCUUUCUCUUGUGGACAUUUAGUGCUAUAAAUUUCCCUCUACACACUGCUUUGAAUGUGUCCCAGAGAUUCUGGUAUGUUGUGUCUUUGUUCUCAUUGGUUUCAAAGAACAUCUUUAUUUCUGCCUUCAUUUCGUUAUGUACCCAGUAGUCAUUCAGGAGCAGGUUGUUCAGUUUCCACGUAGUUGAGUGGUUUUGAGUGAGUUUCUUAAUCCUGAGUUCCAGUUUGAUUGCACUGUGGUGUGAGAGACAGUUUGUUAUAACUUCUGUUCUUUUACAUUUGCUGAGGAGUGCUUUACUUCCAACUAUGUGGUCAAUUUUGGAAUAGGUGUGGUGUGGUCCUGCAAAGAAUGUAUAUUCUGUUGAUUUGGGGUGGAGAGUUCUGUAGAUGUCUAUUAGGUCCGCUUGGUGCAGAGCUGAGUUCAAUUCCUGCAUAUCCUUGUUAACUUUCUAUCUCGUUGAUCUGUCUAAUGUUGACAGUGGGGUGUUAAAGUCUCCCAUUAUUAUCGUGUGGGAGUCUAAGUCUCUUUGUAGGUCUCUAAGGACUUGCUUUAUGAAUCUGGGUGCUCCUGUAUUGGGUGCAUAUAUAUUUAGGAUAGUUAGCUCUUCUUGUUGAAUUGAUCCCUUUACCAUUAUGUAAUGGCCUUCUUUGUCUCUUCUGAUCUUUGUUGGUUUAAAGUCUGUUUUAUCAGAGACUAGGAUUUUGCAACCCCUGCCUUUUUUUGUUUUCCAUUUGCUUGGUAGAUCUUCCUCCAUCCCUUUAUUUUAAGCCUAUGUGUGUCUCUGCACGUGAGAUGGGUUUCCUGAAUACAGCACACUGAUGGGUCUUGACUCUUUAUCCAAUUUGCCAGUCUGUGUCUUUUAAUUGGAGCAUUUAGCCCAUUUACAUUUAAGGUUAAUAUUGUUAUGUGUGAAUUUGAUCCUGUCAUUAUGAUGUUAGCUGGUUAUUUUGCUCGUUAGUUGAUGCAGUUUCUUCCUAGCCUCGAUAGUCUUUACAAUUUGACAUGUUUUUGCAGUAGCUGGUACCAGUUGUUCCUUUCCAUGUUUAGUGCUUCCUUCAGGAGCUCUUUUAGGGCAGGCCUGGUGGUGACAAAAUCUCUCAGCACUUGCUUGUCAGUGAAGGAUUUUAUUUCUCCUUCACUUAUGAAGCUUAAUUUGGCUGGAUAUGAAAUUCUGGAUUGAAAAUUCUUUUCUUUAAGAAUGUUGAAUAUUGGCCCCCACUCUCUUCUGGCUUGUAGAAUUUCUGCUGAGAGAUCAGCUGUUAGUCUGAUGGGCUUCCCUUUGCGGGUAACCCGACCUUUCUCUCUGGCUGCCCUUAACAUUUUUUCCUUCAUUUCAACUUUGGUGAAUCUGACAAUUAUGUGUCUUGGAGUUGCUCUUCUCGAGGAGUAUCUUUGUGGCGUUCUCUGUAUUUCCUGAAUCUGAAUGUUGGCUUGCCUUGCUAGAUUGGGGAAGUUCUCCUGGAUAAUAUCCUACAGAGUGUUUUCCAACUUGGUUCCAUUCUCCCCAUCACUUUCAGGUACACCAAUCAGACGUAGAUUUGGUCUUUUCACAUAGUCCCAAAUUUCUUGGAGGCUUUGUUCAUUUCUUUUUAUUCUUUUUUCUCUAAACUUCUCUUCUCGCUUCAUUUCAUUCAUUUGAUCUUCCAUCACUGAUACCCUUUGUUCCAGUUGAUCGAAUUGGCUACUGAGGCUUGUGCAUUCGUCACGUAGUUCUCGUGCUGUGGUUUUCAGCUCCAUCAGGUCCUUUAAGGACUUCUCUGCAUUGGUUAUUCUAGUUAGCCAUUCAUCUAAUCUUUUUUCAAGGUUUUUAACUUCUUUGCCAUGGGUUCGAACUUCCUCCUUUAGCUCCGAGUAGUUUGAUCAUCUGAAGCCUUCUUCUCUCAACUCGUCAUUCUCCAUCCAGCUUUGUUCCAUUGCUGGUGAGGAGCUGCAUUCCUUUGGAGCAGGAGAGGCACUCUGAUUUUUAGACUUUUCAGUUUUUCUGCUCCGUUUUUUCCCCAUCUUUGUGGUUUUAUCUAUCUUUGGUCUUUGAUGAUGGUGACGUACAGAUGGGGUUUUGCUGUGGAUGUCCUUUCUGUUUUGUUAGUUUUCCUUCUAACAGUCAGGACCCUCAGCUGCAGGUCUGUUGGAGUUUGCUGGAGGUCCACUCCAGAACCUGUUUGCCUGGGUAUCAGCAGUGGGGGCUGCAGAAAGCGGAUAUUGGUGAACAGCAAAUGUUGCUGCCUGAUCGUUCCUCUGGAAGUUUUGUCUCAGAGGAGUACCCAGCCGUUUGAGGUGUCAGUCUGCCCCUACUGGGGGGUGCCUCCCAGUUGGGCUACUCGGGGGUCAGGGACCCACUUGAGGAGGCAGUCUGUCCAUUCUCAGAUCUCCAGCUGCAUGCUGGGAGAACCACUACUCUCUUCAAAGCUGUCAGACAGGGACAAUUAAGUCUGCAGAGGUUUCUGCUGCCUUUUGUUUGGCUAUACCUUGCCCCCAGAGGUGGAGUCCACAGAGGCAGGUGGGCCUCCUUGAGCUGCGGUGGACUCCACCCAGUUCGAGCUUCCUGGCUGCUUUGUUUACCUACUGAAGACUCGGCAAUGGCGGGCGCCCCUCCCCUAGCCUCACUGCCACCUUGCAGUUUGAUCUCAGACUGCUGUGCUAGCAAUGAGCGAGGCUUCGUGGGCGUAGGACCCUCCAAGCAAGGUGCGGGAUACAGUCUCCUGGUGUGCCAUUUGCUAAGACCUUUGGAAAAGUGCAGUAUUAGGGUGAGAGUCACCCGAUUUUCCAGGUGCCAUCUGUCAUCCCUUUCCUUGGCUAGGAAAGGGAAUUCCCUGACCCCAUGCACUUCCUGGGUGAGGCGAUGCCUCGCCCUGCUUCGGCUCACGCUCGGUGCGCUGCACCUGCUGUCCGACAAUCCCCAGUGAGAUGAACCCGGUACCUCAGUUGGAAAUGCAGAAAUCAUUUGUCUUCUGCGCCACUCACGCUGGGAGCUGUAGACUGGAGCUGUUCCUAUUCAGCCAUCUUGGCUCCACCUCCCAUAAUAAACAUUUUAAAACAUUUAAACAUUUCAAACAUUUCUAUUUUUAUUUACAGUAAAGUUUACUCUUUUUGGUGAAGCUAAUAAAACCUAGUAUAAUUUUCUAAAAAUUAUUGACUCAUGUAACUAUCACAAUUGAAAUACAGAAUAUUUCCACCACCACCCCCAAAUUUCUCUAAGCACCCCUUUUUUAGAAACACAGUCUCACUCUGUCACCCAGGCUGGUGUGCAGAGGUGCAAUCUCGGCUCACUGCAAACUCCACCUCCUGGAUUCAAGUGAUUCUCUUGCCUCAGCCUCUCAAGUAGCUGGAAUUACAAGUGUGGUCACCACACCCGGGUAAUUUUUGUAUUUUUAGUAGAGACAGGGUUUCGCCAUGUUGGCCAGGCUGGUCUCAAAUUCCUGGCCCCAAGUGACCCAUCUGCCUCAGCCUCCCACAGUGCUGGGAUUACAGGGGUGAGCCCCUGCUCUCAGCCUCCCACAGUGCUGGGAUUACUGGGGUGAGCCCCUGCUCUCAGCCUCCCACAGUGCUGGGAUUACAGGGGUGAGCCGCUGCUCUCAGCCUCCCACAGUGCUGGGAUUACAGGGGUGACCCACCUGCCUCAGCCUCCCACAGUGCUGGGAUUACAGGGGUGAGCCGCUGCUCUCAGCCUCCCACAGUGCUGGGAUUACAGGGGUGACCCACCUGCCUCAGCCUCCCACAGUGCUGGGAUUACAGGGGUGAGCCCCUGCUCUCAGCCUCCCACAGUGCUGGGAUUACAGGGGUGAGCUGCUGCCUCAGCCUCCCACAGUGCUGGGAUUACAGGGGUGAGCCCCUGCUCUCAGCCUCCCACAGUGCUGGGAUUACAGGGGUGAGCCCCUGCUCUCAGCCUCCCACAGUGCUGGGAUUACAGGGGUGAGCCGCUGCUCUCAGCCUCCCACAGUGCUGGGAUUACAGGGGUGAGCCGCUGCU